rnacentral:rRNA from 1 species
AGUGAACGCUGGCGGUAGGCCUAACACAUGCAAGUCGAACGGCAGCACAGUAAGAGCUUGCUCUUACGGGUGGCGAGUGGCGGACGAGUGAGGAAUACAUCGGAAUCUACUUUUUCGUGGGGGAUAACGUAGGUAAACUUACGCUAAUACCGCAUACGACCUACGGGUGAAAGCAGGGGAUCUUCGGACCUUGCGCGAUUGAAUGAGCCGAUGUCGGAUUAGCUAGUUGGCGGGGUAAAGGCCCACCAAGGCGACGAUCCGUAGCUGGUCUGAGAGGAUGAUCAGCCACACUGGAACUGAGACACGGUCCAGACUCCUACGGGAGGCAGCAGUGGGGAAUAUUGGACAAUGGGCGAAAGCCUGAUCCAGCCAUACCGCGUGGGUGAAGAAGGCCUUCGGGUUGUAAAGCCCUUUUGUUGGGAAAGAAAAGCAGCAGGUUAAUACCCCGCUGUUCUGACGGUACCCAAAGAAUAAGCACCGGCUAACUUCGUG